UGGGGAAUAUUGCACAAUGGGCGCAAGCCUGAUGCAGCCAUGCCGCGUGUAUGAAGAAGGCCUUCGGGUUGUAAAGUACUUUCAGCGGGGAGGAAGGGAGUAAAGUUAAUACCUUUGCUCAUUGACGUUACCCGCAGAAGAAGCACCGGCUAACUCCGUGCCAGCAGCCGCGGUAAUACGGAGGGUGCAAGCGUUAAUCGGAAUUACUGGGCGUAAAGCGCACGCAGGCGGGUUGUUAAGUCAGAUGUGAAAUCCCCGGGCUCAACCUGGGAACUGCAUCUGAUACUGGCAAGCUUGAGUCUCGUAGAGGGGGGUAGAAUUCCAGGUGUAGCGGUGAAAUGCGUAGAGAUCUGGAGGAAUACCGGUGGCGAAGGCGGCCCCCUGGACGAAGACUGACGCUCAGGUGCGAAAGCGUGGGGAGCAAACA
rnacentral:rRNA from 1 species